rnacentral:rRNA from 1 species
CCAGCAGCUGCGGUAAUUCCAGCUCCAAUAGCGUAUAUUUAAGUUGCUGCAGUUAAAAAGCUCGUAGUUGGAUUUCGGGUGGGACCUGCUGGUCCGCCGUUUCGGUGUGCACUGGUAGGGCCCACCUUGGUGCCGGGGACGAGCUCCUGGGCUUCACUGUCUGGGACUCGGAGUCGGCGAGGUUACUUUGAGUAAAUUAGAGUGUUCAAAGCAGGCCUACGCUCUGAAUACAUUAGCAUGGAAUAACACGAUAGGACUCUGGCCUAUCCUGUUGGUCUGUAGGACCGGAGUAAUGAUUAAGAGGGACAGUCGGGGGCAUUCGUAUUUCAUUGUCAGAGGUGAAAUUCUUGGAUUUAUGAAAGACGAACUACUGCGAAAGCAUUUGCCAAGGAUGUUUUCAUUAAUCAAG